rnacentral:rRNA from 1 species
GACGAGCGCUGGCGGCGUGCUUAACACAUGCAAGUCGAACGGAAAGGCCCUGCUUUUGUGGGGUGCUCGAGUGGCGAACGGGUGAGUAACACGUGAGUAACCUGCCCUUGACUUUUGGAUAACUUCAGGAAACUGGGGCUAAUACCGGAUAGGAGCUCCUGCUGCAUGGUGGGGGUUGGAAAGUUUCGGCGGUUGGGGAUGGACUCGCGGCUUAUCAGCUUGUUGGUGGGGUAGUGGCUUACCAAGGCUUUGACGGGUAGCCGGCCUGAGAGGGUGACCGGCCACAUUGGGACUGAGAUACGGCCCAGACUCCUACGGGAGGCAGCAGUGGGGAAUAUUGCACAAUGGGCGGAAGCCUGAUGCAGCAACGCCGCGUGCGGGAUGACGGCCUUCGGGUUGUAAACCGCUUUCGCCUGUGACGAAGCGUGAGUGACGGUAAUGGGUAAAGAAGCACCGGCUAACUACGUG